rnacentral:rRNA from 1 species
AUGAACGCUGGCGGCGUGCCUAAUACCUGCAAGUCGAGCGAACAGACGAGGAGCUUGCUCCUCUGACGUUAGCGGCGGACGGGUGAGUAACACGUGGAUAACCUACCUAUAAGACUGGGAUAACUUCGGGAAACCGGAGCUAAUACCGGAUAAUAUAUUGAACCGCAUGGUUCAAUAGUGAAAGACGGUUUUGCUGUCACUUAUAGAUGGAUCCGCGCCGCAUUAGCUAGUUGGUAAGGUAACGGCUUACCAAGGCAACGAUGCGUAGCCGACCUGAGAGGGUGAUCGGCCACACUGGAACUGAGACACGGUCCAGACUCCUACGGGAGGCAGCAGUAGGGAAUCUUCCGCAAUGGGCGAAAGCCUGACGGAGCAACGCCGCGUGAGUGAUGAAGGUCUUCGGAUCGUAAAACUCUGUUAUUAGGGAAGAACAAAUGUGUAAGUAACUAUGCACGUCUGGACGGUACCUAAUCAGAAAGCCACGGCUAACUACGU